UACAGAGGGGGCAAGCGUUGUUCGGAAUUACUGGGCGUAAAGGGCGCGUAGGCGGCCUGCUAAGUCGAACGUGAAAUCCCCGAGCUCAACUCGGGAACUGCGUCCGAUACUGGUUGGCUUGAAUCCGGGAGAGGGAUGCGGAAUUCCAGGUGUAGCGGUGAAAUUCGUAGAUAUUCGGAAGAACACCAGUGGCGAAGGCGGCUCACUGGACCGUUGUUGACGCUGAGGUGCGAAAGCGUGGGGAGCAAACAGG
rnacentral:rRNA from 1 species